rnacentral:lncRNA from 1 species
CCCGUAUUCCAAGCUCAGGAAUACGCAGCAGACGAUCGUCGCGGUCAGAGGGAUUAUAUCUACCUCUGAAAAUAGGAAAGGCGGAGAAAAUAAAGUGAGAAAAUUGUUGCCGUUGAUUGAGCGAAUUGAGGAACAUUCAUUCGUUCGAAAGCGUUGGGAGCGAUCGACCAGAUAAGGGAAUUGAAGUCUCAUCGACCGGAGUCGAUUAGUCGAUAUCGGCAGAAUUCAAGCUACUCGGAGGAUCGGGGAAUUUUAAUACAUACGAAUCGAGCAUGUAAUACAUGGCGACUAUUAUCACCGCCGCUAACGCGGCCUUUGGUAUAAAUUCGAAGGUCGAAGUCAGCAAUCCGCAGG